rnacentral:rRNA from 3 species
ACUCUCGGCAACGGAUAUCUCGGCUCUCGCAUCGAUGAAGAACGCAGCA